UAAAACGUAAAUCAUUGAUUCAACAUAUCCUGAUUAAUUCGCACGGACUUUACUCCUCAUAACCAAGCCAUGCAUCCCGCCGACUUUCAUACCGUGGCAGAAAUCAUUAGCAAGGAUGACAACCUGUUAAUUUCUAAAUUAACUACUAAACAAGCAACUGAAAUUUCCAACUCGCAACUGCAAAAACGAAUCGUUGAUGCAUUACAUGUUUGGGCAAAAUCUAGCAGUGAAGGACGUGGAAUUAAUGAAUUGAAUAAAAUACUGUUGGAAUCCGACUUGGUAACGGCGAUGAAUGACUUGGCAAAAUACUUUAAUCCACCGUCCGUCAAUACACAAAGGCCACAAUUUUCCGACCCGGAAAUGUUUUAAUGCAACUAGUAAAUCUUUAUGUAAUUAAUAGUUACUUUAUACUGAUAAAUAUGUUUUCAUCGAGGGAUGCAGCAGAAAUUGUAUUUUGAUGUAAGAAAUAAUAAAAUAUUGUUAUAUUGCUACUGAUUGACUAAUCUGGGAUUCCUGUUAAUUGCCGGCUAUGCAUAUUGUAAAUUGUUCGAAUGGUUACUUUGUAUUUAUGUAUAUUUUCACUGCAGCAGUGAUUGAUCAGAGGCCGCGGAUAAGUGGAUAAAUAGAACAAUGUCGUCACAUUAUAAGUAGUUAUCAUGUAUCCAACAUUAAAUAAGGUCACAUAACUCACGUAAACAACAGUCACCCUAUUUCUUCUGCUAAUGAAUAUUAUCAAAUGACUUAUCAAAUGUUUUAACCGCUGUAAGUUAUAUGUAGUUAAAUACUGAAUUGGUACAAAUUGUCUCAGAAUUAGAUAAGCCGGGUUCAAAUUCAAAAUUUGGCCGAUACAGAUCUUAAAACAAUCCCAUUCUGUGCAGUUGGAAAACAAGCAUAGCAACCAUUACGCCAAGAAAAUUUAAAUGCUAUUAUUUUUUUUAACACAUAUUUUUACUGGAAUUUUAGUUACGCAAAACCGUUAUAAGAAAUUUUAUAUAUAAUGAUUCGCCAAACUAAAAAUUUAAUAACUUAGUAAUUUAUCUAAGUAAUUUAACUAAGUAAUUUUGUAAUAACUUAAUAAUUUAAUAAUUUAAUAACGAAAUAUACUUUAAUAAUACACCACAAAAUUUUAUUUAAAUAGGCAGGUGACCAGAACAGUCUGAUCAGUAAAUUUAAUUUUAAAGUGUUCCAACAUA